GUGUCAGCCGCCGCGGUAAUACGUAGGGUGCAAGCGUUAUCCGGAUUUACUGGGCGUAAAGGGUCGUGUAGGUGGUUUUCCGCAUCGAACCUGAAAGCCCGAGGCUUAACCUCGGCGUUGGGUUCGAGAUGGGGAGACUUGAGGGAGACAGAGGUAAGGGGAACUCAUGGUGGAGCAGUGAAAUGCGUUGAUAUCAUGAGGAACACCAAAGGCGAAGGCACCUUACUGGGUCUCAUCUGACACUCAGACACGAAAGCUAGGGGAGCGAAGCAGAUUAGAUACCCGUGUAGUCC
rnacentral:rRNA from 1 species